GUUUGACUCAGACUGAACAUGGCCUUUCGGGUCCAAGUCCAAGCCCGGACUCUGGAACCCAAACGACGACGACGAGGGUGAGGGCGAGUGUCUCUUCUUCUACAUCAUUUUGGGGCUUCGCCUUCUUCUCGUCUUCUCUGUUGAACGUCCUGUGGCUCCGAUUCUGCCCUAGUUUGGGGGGGCAUGCAACCCCGGGUUCCAUCUUCAUUGCAUCAAUGGGGUAAAUUCACAUACUUCUUAGGCAUUUGCUCCAUGUGUCGCAGGAAGUGACAAUUCAGAGGUUGAGAAAAAAAAACAUUGGAAUCACUCUUAAGUGCAGCGGUUGCAAAUGCAGGCUUGCAAUUGUUAUGCUGGUUGAUAUAAAGCGAACGCCUCCUCUGUAUAUGUAUUGAGUAUUAGUUGAUGUAAACUAUAGUUGCUCCAUCUCCAGGUUUCAGUUUUUUUUCAAUCGUUUAUUGUAUUCCUCCAUAAACCGCAUUUUUGUUUAUUGGGUCUGAAGCGAUCCCCAGUGAGCAUAAAAAUAAAUUUUUGAUGGUAGUCAUUUUAAAAUUUGUGAUCCAAUUAAGAUUCGGGCGGAGGGGUGAAUUUGAA